rnacentral:rRNA from 1 species
AUUGAACGCUGGCGGCAUGCCUUACACAUGCAAGUCGAACGGCAGCACGGGUGCUUGCACCUGGUGGCGAGUGGCGAACGGGUGAGUAAUACAUCGGAACAUGUCCUGUAGUGGGGGAUAGCCCGGCGAAAGCCGGAUUAAUACCGCAUACGAUCUACGGAUGAAAGCGGGGGACCUUCGGGCCUCGCGCUAUAGGGUUGGCCGAUGGCUGAUUAGCUAGUUGGUGGGGUAAAGGCCUACCAAGGCGACGAUCAGUAGCUGGUCUGAGAGGACGACCAGCCACACUGGGACUGAGACACGGCCCAGACUCCUACGGGAGGCAGCAGUGGGGAAUUUUGGACAAUGGGCGAAAGCCUGAUCCAGCAAUGCCGCGUGUGUGAAGAAGGCCUUCGGGUUGUAAAGCACUUUUGUCCGGAAAGAAGUCCUUGGCUCUAAUACAGUCGGGGGAUGACGGUACCGGAAGAAUAAGCACCGGCUAACUACGUG